ensembl:lncRNA
AGGCACCGUUCCAGCCCCCAGCGGACCCUGAAGAGGCCUCCCCCUCCGCAGCUUUAACCCCUCCUCCUGGAGCCCAGGAUGGCGAAGAGGAAGCCCAGAAUGCGCCUGCAGUGGGGCUUGGGGACAGAACAAAUAUUCCUGGAGAAUCUCAUCUUCCUGAGGAAUCUGGAAAAGGGGACCUGGGAGUCAGGGAGUGUAGAGGAAAUUCUGGAGAGGAGGAAGUUGGGAAUGGGUUCCCUGACUCUGCGUAUCAACGAAUACGCGUCCCAACAGUGUCUCCAUGGGGCGCACUCAGAUACUUACCGACGAAGUCUUUGAAAGCUGAACUGGCCUUGGAACCGCUGAACACAGGAGGAAAAGAAGAUGUGAUCUCAACCCGGCUGACCACCUGCUUUAAGCAAACAAAAAAGCACCAUUCCUACAUCCUCCAGGGAAGGUAAGAGGCCCAGAGUCUCAAAGACAAAAAUAAACAAAAAGCAGGAUUGCAAAUGUACAGCCUACAAUCCAAAAUUACUCAGCACACCAAGAACCAGGAAAAUGUGACCAAUUCACAAGGGAAGAGACUAAUCAGCAUUUACCAGCCCUGAAAUGACCCAGUUGUUGAAAUUAUCAAAGACUCUAAGGCAACUAUUGAAACUAUGCUCUACGAGAGAAAGGUAAACAUGCUUGAAAUGAAUGGAACAUGUUUUCAGCAGAUACAUAUAAACUGUAUACAAAAGACUUUAGAACUUCAAAAAAAAAAAGCCCCAAUAUCUGAAAUCUAAAAACCAAAUCGCUAAAUGAGCUCAAUAACAGAAUAGAGGUGACAAAUAAAAGAGUCAGUAAGAUUGAGAACAGGUAGAUAGAAAGCACAGAGCGGAAAGGACUGAGAAAAUCAGGAGCAUCGGGGACGGACGGAGCAGGUCGAAAAGUUGAAUAUCCUUGUGAGAUCCUGAUGGAGAGGAGAAACUGAUGAUGUAGAGAAAAUGCCUGAAGAAAUGACUGAAGACAUCUUAAAUUUGGUUAAAGACUUAAAUUUAUGAAUUCAAGAAUCUCAGCGAACCCCAAACAAGGAGAAGAUAAAAAAAAAAAAAAGCACCCAAACAUACCAUAGCCAAACUGAUGAAAACCAAAGAUAAGGGGAAAAAGUCUUGAAAAGCAGCCAGAGAAAAACUUCACAUUACAAAUAGAGGGAUAACAGCUCAGAGCCUGGAGCCCAUUUUCGAGUGUGUGUCUCUUCCUCUCUGCCCCUUACUUGCUUGCACUUUGUCUCCCAAAAAAUAUGUUAAAAAAAAUAAAAGAAAGGAAUUAUGGAGGCCAGGAAACAAUGGAGCAUUUUUUAAAGAUUUUAUGUAUUUAUUUUUAAUGUUUAUUUAGUUUUGAGAGAGAGAGAGAGAAUGAACAAGGGAGGGUCAGAAAGAAGGGGGCAGAGGAUUCGAAGUGGGCUCUGCGCUGACAACAGCAAGCCUGAUGUGGGGUUCGAACUCGUGAACCAUAAAGUCAUGACCUGAGCUCUGAAGUUGGAUGCUUAACUGACUGAGCCACCCAGGUAUACCAAGAUUUUAUUUUUAAGUAGGCUCUACACCCAACAUGGGGCUCAACUCACAAUUCUGAGGCACAUGCUCCACUGACUAUCCAGGCACCCUAUCAGUUGAACAAUAUUUUUAAAGUGCUUAAGUAGAAGAAAUAUCAAGCCAGGAGGCAAUGUCGGGCAAAAAUACCUUCCAGGGAGAAAGGUGAUAUAAAGACAUUCUCAGAUCAAAAAAAAUUAAGAGAAUUAAUCACUAGCAGACCUGCUCUAAAAGAAACGCUAAAGGAAGGUGUUCAGGCAGAAGAGAAAUGAUACCAGAUGGAAGUUUAGAACUUAAGGAAUGAAGAAAAAGGGACAGAAAUGACAAAUACACGAAUGAAUGUAACAGAUGAAUCGUCUCCUCUUAAGUUCUUUAAAAUACGUAUAAUGUUGCAAUAAAGUUGUAAGAUUUGUACACUUUGUUCGAAGUGUUAAGAUACUAACUCUAAGUAGACUGUGAUAAGUUAGGCACCUGUAAUCACAAACCUUAGAGAAACCACUUAAACCCCUGCCCACCCCCACACCAGAACAAAACAAAACAAAAAACCACCAAAACCAAAAUCCUGAGAUAUAGCUAAAACACCAAAGGAUAAAUUCAAAAUGGAAUGCUAAGGAAUUGAGGUUAAUGAAAAUCAUGGAGUAAGGGAUUCCAAGAGUUUGUCCCUUCAUAAAAGCAAUAAAAAAUUGGCAAGAACUAUAAGAAUGAACCUUUUUGGAACUCUAGAAAUGAGCCAAAAGCUAGCAGCAACCCAAGUACUUAUUUUUUAAAAUGGCUGGUCUUGGGGCGCCUGGGUGGCUCAGUCGGUUAACUCUCCGGCUUCGGCUCAGGUCAGAUCUCACGUUCGUGGGUUCGAGCCCUGCGUCAGGCUCUGUGCUGACAGCUAGCUCAGAGCCUGGAGCCUGCUUCCGGUUCUGUCUCCUUCUCUCUCUGCCCCUCCCCCUCUCAUGCUCUGUCUGUCUCUGUAUCAAAAAUAAAUAAAACAUUAAAAAAUUUUUUAAAUGGCUGGUCUUGGUAAGAGCAGUAAGCUUUGUGGCAUUUCACCCUACCCUACCCUUACCUUACCCUGCCCUGGGAGUAGCCUCUAAAGUAGCCUUGAAAAUAGCAACUGAGGGGCGCCUGGGGGGCUCAGUCGGUUAAGCGGCUGACGUUGGCUCAGGUCAUGAUCUCGCAGUUUGUGAGUUCGAGCCCCACAUUGGGCUCUGCGAUGACAGCUCAGAGCCUGGACCCUGCUUCGGAUUCUGUGUCUCCUUCUCUCUCUGCCCUUUCUCUGCUCACUCUCUGUCUCUCAAGAAUAAAUAAACAUUUAAAAAAAUUUUUUAAGGAAAAAAGAAAAGAAAUAGCAGCU